rnacentral:rRNA from 1 species
CUACGUGCCAGCAGCCGCGGUAAUACGUAGGUCCCGAGCGUUGUCCGGAUUUAUUGGGCGUAAAGCGAGCGCAGGCGGUUUGAUAAGUCUGAAGUUAAAGGCUGUGGCUCAACCAUAGUUCGCUUUGGAAACUGUCAAACUUGAGUGCAGAAGGGGAGAGUGGAAUUCCAUGUGUAGCGGUGAAAUGCGUAGAUAUAUGGAGGAACACCGGUGGCGAAAGCGGCUCUCUGGUCUGUAACUGACGCUGAGGCUCGAAAGCGUGGGGAGCGAACAGGAUUAGAUACCCUGGUAGUCCACGCCGUAAACGAUGAGUGCUAGGUGUUGGAUCCUUUCCGGGAUUCAGUGCCGCAGCUAACGCAUUAAGCACUCCGCCUGGGGAGUACGACCGCAAGGUUGAAACUCAAGGGAAUUGGCGGGGGCCCGCACAAGCGGUGGAGCAUGUGGUUUAAUUCGAAGCAACGCGAAGAACCUUACCAGGUCUUGACAUCCCGAUGCUAUUUCUAGAGAUAGAAAGUUACUUCG